rnacentral:lncRNA from 1 species
UCAGCUCCUGGAUGACUACAAGAAAGGGAACCUCCACAUCAUUCCAGAAACUCCUCUGGCUGAGGAGAGAUCAGGAGAUGACAGUGAUGUGUUGAUAGAGUGAGACAUCAUGGCCUCCAUGCAGAGGAAUGUGUGGAUGGACAUAUAUUUAAGGAAGACACUAAACCAGAAAAUACCACAUUACACCCUCUUAAAAGACUUCUAAGAUUGUUGUCAUGCCUACCACAGACAUUCAGAUGAUGUGUAUUCUUGAUUGUGAUUUCAUGUUUGGAGCUGAUGAAGGAGAAAGUACCUGGAAUGUCCUAGAAUUCUCAAGACCCAGGAGAUGAACAUAUGCCUGAGAAGAAGAACUAGUGUGGAACUGUCAGCCAGGUUUUUGAUGAGUGCUCAGACUGCUUCCUGAUCCGGCACCACAUUUACUAUAGUGGACAGAUGCUCUAGUCUCUGAUGAGGAGUUGCUAGCUGUUAGGAAAAACCUGGAAUGGGCUCCACUGCAUGAGGUUUGAAGUCUCCAGAGCAGCAAAGAGAGUGGGGAGUAGAAC